rnacentral:rRNA from 1 species
UGGCCUUGACAUAAUAAGAAUCUUUUAGAGAUAGAAGAAUGCUAGUUUACUAGAGCUUAUAUACAGGUGCUGCACGGCUGUCGUCAGCUCGUGUCGUGAGAUGUUGGGUUAAGUCCCGCAACGAGCGCAACCCACGCCAAUAGUUAAUAACAGUUCGGCUGAUGACUCUAUUGGGACUGCCUUCGUAAGGAGGAGGAAGGUGUGGACGACGUCAAGUCAUCAUGGCCCUUACGGCCAGGGCUACACACGUGCUACAAUGGGGGUAUACAAAGAGCCGCAAUACCGCGAGGUGGAGCAAAUCUUAAAAAUAUCUCCCAGUUCGGAUAGCAGUCUGCAACUCGACUGCUUGAAGUUGGAAUCGCUAGUAAUCGUGAAUCAGCAAUGUCACGGUGAAUACGUUCCCGGGUCU